UACGAAGGGGGCUAGCGUUGCUCGGAAUCACUGGGCGUAAAGGGCGCGUAGGCGGCCAUUCAAGUCGGGGGUGAAAGCCCAGGGCUCAACCCUGGAAUUGCCUUCGAUACUGUUUGGCUAGAGACCGGAAGAGGUAAGUGGAACUGCGAGUGUAGAGGUGAAAUUCGUAGAUAUUCGCAAGAACACCAGUGGCGAAGGCGGCUCACUGGCCCGAUACUGACGCUGAGGCACGAAAGCGUGGGGAGCAAACAGG
rnacentral:rRNA from 1 species